UACGGAGGGUGCAAGCGUUAUCCGGAUUCACGGGGUUUAAAGGGGGCGUAGGUGGGUUUGUAAGUCAGUGGUGAAAUCUCCAAGCUUAACUUGGAAACUGCCGUUGAUACUAUAAAUCUUGAAUGUUGUGGAGGUGAGCGGAAUAUGUCAUGUAGCGGUGAAAUGCUUAGAUAUGACAUAGAACACCAAUUGCGAAGGCAGCUCACUACACAAAGAUUGACACUGAGGCACGAAAGCGUGGGGAUCAAACAGG
rnacentral:rRNA from 1 species